CCUGGCGGCCUUAGCGCGGUGGUCCCACCUGACCCCAUGCCGAACUCAGAAGUGAAACGCCGUAGCGCCGAUGGUAGUGUGGG
rnacentral:rRNA from 1 species